GGGAUCCAAGCCGCGUCUGCAACCUACACCACAGCUCACGGCAACGCCUGAUCCUUAACCCACUGAGCAAGCCUGGGAACUUCCAUAUGCCAUGGGUGUGGCCUAAUAAAGCAAAAAAAUAAAGUCAAUUGGACAGGUUCACUGUGGCAAUCAUUCUGGAGCAACUUGGAAAUGCAAUAGAUGGAGUUCCCUUAUGGAUUAGCAGGUUAAGGAUCUGGCAUUGUCAGUACAGUGGCUCAGGUUGCUACUGUGGUAUGGGUAGUAGAGGGCCAAGGAGACCUAGGACAAUUGCCAUGCUUAUAUGUGACACCUGUUCUUAAGUUAAUGCAAAAACCCCAUUGUAAACCGUGUGAUUGACACUAUCUUUCUGCUUACUGUGAUGGUGAAAAUGCAAAGGCAUGUCAUGGGGAAUGCUUUUUUCCACAUGUGUGAUCAAGUUUCCAGUACAUAAUUAUAAAUAAGCUUUACUCUUGCCUUUAUCAGAUGUCAGUUUCUGCAUAGCAAAUUACAGCCAAAAUUUGACUUAAAACAGUUUAUUAUCUUGCAGAUUUUGUGGGUCGGAAAUCAAUUCAUAUAGCAGAAAUUAUCACAACAUUGUAAAUCAAUCAACUAUAGUUCAAUAAAACUUUUAAAAAUGAAAAAAGGAGUUUACAUCGUGGCUCAAAGGAAACGAAUCUGACUAGCAUCUAUGAGGACACAGGUUCAACCCCUGGCCUUGAUCAGUGGGUUAAGGAUCUGGCGUUGCUGUGAGCUGUGGUGUAGGUCACAGAUGUAGCUCGGAUCCCACGUUGCUGUGGUUGUGGCGUAAGCUGGAAGCUACAGCUUCCAUUCCACAUCCCCCCUCCACUUCGGAACCUCCCUAUGCUGUGGGUGUGGCCCUAAAAAGACAAACAAUAACAACAUGACAAUCCUGGAGUGGCUUUUCUAGACCCUCCAUUUCAGGGCAUCUUAUGAGGCUGCAGUGAUAUAGGCUACAUUCAUUUCAAGGCCUAUUAGGGAUAAACUGCUUCCAAAUUCAGUCUUGUGGUUGUUGGUAGGAUUUAGUUCCUUACGGGCUGUUGGCUGGAGCCUCCCUAAGUCCCUGGCCAUGCGGGCCUCUCCUUAGGGCAGCUUCCAGUCUGGCAGCUGGGGGCCAUCACAGUGAGUGAGAGAUCAAGAGAGAAGCCUAUCUUUUGACCACCCAAUAUUGGCAGUGACCAUCCAUCGUUCUGCUGUAUUCCACUCAUUAAAAGCUAGUCAUUGGUCCCACCUACACCUGAAGGGUGUACCCCAGGAGUCAGGGUCAGUGGGAGCUGUCUUAGAGGCUGCCCAUCACAUGAAAACUCUAUUCACAUCCUUCCUAGAUCCCUGAAAGUCUCCUUGUGUUACAACAUCAGCUCAAAGUAUCAAGUCAUUACUGAAGUCAGGUCAGGGUGGGUGAGGCUCCCCGGGUGUGGUUCUUUAGGUACGGUUUCUGGAGCUCAAUUCCUCUCCAUCUGUAGACCCACGAAGAGAAGCUAUGUCCCAACAUGCAGUGAUGGAUCAGGCAUAGGAUAAUUGCCCUAAGACAGUGUGUUCACAGAGCGAGAACUGGGAAACUCAAAGGAGUCAUUAUACAGUCCAGCCUACACUCAAAUGAAGGGAGUUGCACAAGGGCCUAAAAACCAGGAGGCAGGGGGUCACUGGGGGCCAUCUCAGUGGCCGCCUACCAUUCUGCCUAUUUGACUCUAGUAAUAAAAGAAGUAAAAUUUUAGAGGAAACUUUUUUUUUUUUUUUGCUUUUUUAGGGCUGAAUCCAAGGCAUA
rnacentral:lncRNA from 1 species